rnacentral:rRNA from 1 species
UACGUAGGGUGCAAGCGUUUGUCCGGAAUUAUUGGGCGUAAAGAGCUCGUAGGCGGUUUGUCGCGUCUGCUGUGAAAACUCAGGGCUUAACCCUGAGCUUGCAGUGGGUACGGGCAGACUAGAGUGCGGUAGGGGAGACUGGAAUUCCUGGUGUAGCGGUGAAAUGCGCAGAUAUCAGGAGGAACACCGAUGGCGAAGGCAGGUCUCUGGGCCAU